rnacentral:misc_RNA from 1 species
CAGCAUGUCGACGAGUGCAAAUGCACGGCUCUGGUCGGGCCUGGCCGAAGGCGACACUGAAGGGGUGGUCCAGGCCCUAGAGGAAGGCGCCGACGUGAACCAAGUGAGCCACGGCGGAGGUCGCCCCAUUCACUCCGCUGCUCUUCGGAAUUCUGGCGGUCUCGUGAGGAUCCUUUUGAAUCACGGCGCCCUCUGCGAUGCAUCCGACGACGAAGGCUUCACGCCUCUAAUGGUGGCGUCCUUGAAUGGGCAUACCGAGGUGGUGCAGGAGCUGCUGAAGGGCGGUGCGGACCCGAAAAUACAUCGGCCUGAUGACUUCGGCGGGGACACAGCCCUCCACAUGGUCACCAGGACAGACGAAGGCGAGGUGUUGAGAGCCCUGCUGGAGGCGGGGGCAGAUCCUAACGCCAGGGCCAGCGGCUUGAACGACAUGACGCCUCUGCACUUGGCUGCGGAGUUCGGGAGAGAGAACUUGGCUGAGCUGCUCGCGAACCACCCGAGCUGCGAAAUCGAUCUGAGAGACGCCCGUGGCCUCACGCCCGCCCGCCUGGCUAAAGAAAGCUGCCCGAGCCUCUCGCUCUACCUGGAUUUGUGCUGCGGAGCCAAGUCUCGCAUGGACAAGCUUCUCAUCGUCGCAGUCAGGAGGAAUGAUGCGGCGGAAGUGCAGGCAGCGCUGGACGAAGGAGCGGACCUGAGCUUACAGGGUCCAGAGGAUGGCGGGACCUUGCUCCACCUGGCGUCCCAGGGUUCCUCAGGACAUGUUCUCCAGAUGCUUCUCUCUCGAGGCGCCUCGGUGGACGCAUGGACCAGUCAGGGAUUCACACCGCUCAUGAUAGCGGCUCAGAGGGGCGCGACGGACGCCUUAGUACACCUUAGGGAUCAUCGGGCCAAUCCAAAGCUGUCCACUCCUGACGGGACGACGGCGCUGCACUUGGCCGUGCAAAGUCAGAACUCUUCCGCAGUGACUGCUCUCCUCGACGCCGGCGUAGACAUCAAUGCCACAAAGGUCGACGGGUCCACGCCGCUGCACAUCGCCGCUGCGUCGGGGGCCCUCAAAAUGGCUCAUCUCUUGUUGGAUGACUACUUGUGGGAUAGUACCAAGGGCGGCUCGGCUGCCCAUGUGGCGAGGGAGGCCGGCCACCUGGAAUUCGCCAAAUUCAUCGAGCAAAGGAUCGGCAUUUGCGAUGAGAGUGACGACCUCCCCCAAGAGGACUUCCGCGUAGUGGUCGGCCAGCCUGUGCCUCCUAGUCCGGGCGUGUACCGGAACCUCUCCGAACCGUAUCGAGGUCGAGUCCUCAUCAUCAACUACCGGGAAUUCAGUGAGGAGAAACUCGCUCGCAUCGGCACUGAGAAAGAUAUGGAAAAUCUCUUCAAAGUGUUUAGGAGUAUGGGCUACCAAGUGGAAGAUCACCAGGACCUGGAUCUGGAAGCGACUAAAAAGGUGCUGAAUGACUUCAGGAGUAACGAGGAUCUAGCUAAAGUUGACUCAAUGUUCGUGUGCAUGUUGAGUCAUGGCAUCGACCGGGAUACAUUCUUCACAUCUGAUAUGAGAAAGAUGGACGUCUCUGCGGUACGGAAUAUGUUCAAAGAUCAGGUUUGUCCUCUCAUGAAGGGAAAACCCAAAGUUUUCCUUUUCAACUUCUGCCGCGGAAACACCUUUGAAAGCUUCUCUGGAAAAAGUAUAGGCGACGAUCUACCUUGGACGUCACAGAGCACGGUCGGCCGCGACGAGGUACCUCCCGCACAGGACGAAGCCCCGCGUGACAUGCUGACCAUUUACGCGUCGACGGAAGGCUUCAAGGCUUUUAGGACGAAUAAAGGAACUUUUUUCGCGCGGUCCCUGUGCCAAACUCUAGCCACUCACGCCCACAACACGGACAUGAUCAGCAUGGUUUCGAAGUUGGACCGGCUGAUGGCAACAAGACGACACGCUACAACGCCGGAGGCACAGAGCUUCGCCUUCCAGAAGUUUUUCCUGAAUCCACUGAAGCCUUCCGACGCAUAGCACUGUGGGUCUCCAACGAUGACUGCGCUUCCUCGCAUGCUAGCGGGGAUGGGUUAACGGGAGAGAGAACUUGGCUGAGCUGCUCGCGAACCACCGGAGCUGCGAAGUCGAUCUGAGAGACGCCCGUGGCCUCACGCCCGCCCGCCUGGCUAAGGAAAGCUGCCCGAGUCUCUCGCUCUACCUGGAUUUGUGCUGCGGAGCCAAGUCUCGCAUGGACAAGAUACGCUGAAGU